ACUCUCUUGAAUACCAUCAAUAAAG
rnacentral:piRNA from 1 species